rnacentral:lncRNA from 1 species
CAAACUUCCUUCUGCUCACUUCACCACAAUUCAGAAUAGUUGUGGGCUAUUUACGAGAAACUGUCUUGUUCUUUUUCCCUCUAUUCAAUAACAGACAAGAAUCAAGAAUUCUAAGGUUUUUAGUAGAAACCAAUAAAUUAUGCAUCCCAGAAGGAAAAAAGUGUGCAGUUUUCAGUGGGAAUUUUAAUAUUUUUAAAUGGAUUUACCACAGAAUGCAAGAUAUCUUGGUAUGUAACGCACAAAACGUUGGUAUUCUCAGCACCAAACACAAGAAAAGGUCCUAAAAAUAAAAUCACCAAAAGGAUUAAAAAAAAAAAAAAACCUAUUUCUUCAGAGAACCCCAAAAAAGCACUUUUUUCACAUAAGUUGAUCGCUCCAUGCAUGCCUCCAAUUCCUUAAGUCACCCUUCACAAAAUGAGAUCCAAUAAUUCAUAAAAACAGUAUACUCAAAAGAAGAUUCAAUCCAAGAUCGAAGCUUUCAGUCUGAUUCUUCCAAAUACAAAUUCAGUUGCUAUUAUCACGAUUCCUAAAAAAUCACAACUUCCCGAAAGUUUCAUCAGGAAUCAUACACAUACAUCAUGCAAGUACAUAUAAAUUACAAUUAUACACGUAUAAAAGUCUACCAGAAUAAGUCUUGAGAGAACGGAUCUGGGGCAAUGAAUAAAAAGGGGUUGGUAAAGGUAAUUGAAAGGAACAGGAGGAAAAAAAGUGAGCGGAGCAGCCUUUUAUUUGGAUUGGAUUUUUCCGCUGGUUUGCUGUAUUGCCAGUUUGUUUCUGUGUUUUUCAUUGGCUCUUUGCCACCCCAACGACACCCACCCCAGCCUCUUAUAUAUAUAUCACACACAAAACCCAC